AACGAACGCUGGCGGCAUGCCUAACACAUGCAAGUCGAACGAACCCUUCGGGGUUAGUGGCGCACGGGUGCGUAACGCGUGGGAAUCUGCCCUUUGCUUCGGAAUAACAGUUAGAAAUGACUGCUAAUACCGGAUGAUGUCUUCGGACCAAAGAUUUAUCGGCAAAGGAUGAGCCCGCGUAGGAUUAGGUAGUUGGUGGGGUAAAGGCCUACCAAGCCGACGAUCCUUAGCUGGUCUGAGAGGAUGAUCAGCCACACUGGGACUGAGACACGGCCCAGACUGCUACGGGAGGCAUGAGUGGGGAAUAUGGGACAAUGGCCGCAAGUCUGAUCCAGCAAUGCCGCGUGAGUCAUGAAGGCCUUAGGGUUGUAAAGCUCUUUUACCAGGGAUGAUAAUGACAGUACCUGGAGAAUAAGCUCCGGCUAACUCCGUGCCAGCCGCCGCCGUAACAC
rnacentral:rRNA from 1 species